AAUCAAGGUUUAGCCGAAACAAAAAACAGAAUUGAGUAAAUCAGGCUUAUUUCUCUAUGAAAUUGAAGGACUGAUCAUUAAUAACCUUAUAGCCAUCAAGUUCAAAGCACACAUGCGUUUUGUAGAUUAAAAUCCUUAAAAUGGUUCAGUGGACAAAAAAAAAAAAAAGGAAAACAAAGAAACUUGUAUACUAAUAAUAUAGUGGGCAUAUAAUCUUACCAAAGAAUGCAUAGGUGUUGUUUUUGAGCUAACGCAUGUCCCAAGUAUGAGAACUGAUUGUAAAAUCAUACUGCAAAGUACAGUAAUUGUCUAAAACAGAUCACUCAAAUCAAAUAAACACAAGUACAACAUAUAAAGUAGUUUCGACAGACAUAGCACUUUGUAAAUAUUAAGCACACAGCCGAAACAUUAUUUGCAUAUAUAUAACUCUCUUUUAUCCAUUUUUCUCUUCUUUCCCUCAAGCGAUCACCUGCGCACGCUUCCUUCCUUUCUUCCUGUCGUCCUUCCUUUCCUUCUGUGCAUGCUAGAGGGUACUGCUGUACUAGCAGUGAGGAGGUGGAGGAUGGUGAUGAUGCCAAGGCGGAGGUGGCCAAUGAGGAUCGAAACAAGGUGGUGGAGGAAGACAAGGAGGAGGAGGUGGAGGAUGAUGCAGAUGUGCAAAAGGUGGAGGAUGGUGGUAAUGAUGAUGGUGAAAUGGUGGAGGUGGAGGUGGAGGAUGGUGGUGAUGGUGAAAUGGAGGAGGGAGUGGUGGCGGUGGACAGUGGCAGUGUAAUGGUGGACAGUGACAAUGUGGUGGUGGGGGAAGGGGUGGUGCACAAGGCUCUGGUGGUGGGGGUGGAGGCAUUUUUAGUUUGCUGAAACUUAGUUACGAGGAGUAUUAGAUGGAAGAAGAU
rnacentral:lncRNA from 1 species